rnacentral:lncRNA from 12 species
UGACGAGAGGCUUUAUUGUAACAAAAUCCCACAGCUUUUAGAAGGAGUAAUACCAAAAGAAAAGGAAUUUCUAGUAUGUCACCAACAUCCUGCAGACUGCCCUGAGAGUGGCAUUCCUCAGCAGAGCCUGUAACACGUACCGUUUGUAAUUCACAGCAGCAACAAUCCUGAGAGACUCGAGCCUGUGUGGCAAGAGGUAAGCAAGGCCUUUUUCCUAUGUGAUGUCAUGAAUGAGAAGAGAAAAUGUUCUGGAGGAGCUAGUGCACAGAAAAAUCAGAGGGUACGCAUCAUGACAGCUUGA